rnacentral:rRNA from 1 species
GACGAACGCUGGCGGCGUGCUUAACACAUGCAAGUCGAACGAUGAAGCCUAGCUUGCUAGGUGGAUUAGUGGCGAACGGGUGAGUAAUACGUGAGUAACCUACCUUUCACUCUGGGAUAAGCCUGGGAAACUGGGUCUAAUACCGGAUACGACCAAUCUCCGCAUGGGGUGUUGGUGGAAAGCGUUAUGUAGUGGUUAUAGAUGGGCUCACGGCCUAUCAGCUUGUUGGUGAGGUAACGGCUCACCAAGGCGACGACGGGUAGCCGGCCUGAGAGGGUGACCGGCCACACUGGGACUGAGACACGGCCCAGACUCCUACGGGAGGCAGCAGUGGGGAAUAGUGCACAAUGGGCGCAAGCCUGAUGCAGCGACGCCGCGUGAGGGAUGACGGCCUUCGGGUUGUAAACCUCUGUUAGCAGGGAAGAAGAGAGAUUGACGGUACCUGCAGAGAAAGCGCCGGCUAACUACGUG